AUGGCAGUGUUUUUGCAGUUUUCCGACAGAGUGUUUAACAAAAAAUUACCACAUUCCAACCAAUCUUGUCGAGAAACUACCACUCUACAAAAAUUAGCAGAGAACUACCACUCUACGUCUAAUUUUUUGCAAAAAAAAAACACUAAUGACUCUGCCGCAGCAGAAAAACGCUGCCAUGGCAGCAAAAAUAGCAUGUUUUUGCUUUUGCGGCAGAAAAACGCUGCCAUGGAUUUUGCAUAUGCUUCAAUGCAAAUCGCAGAACAUGGAAAUAAUACAGACAAGGAAAUUAAUACUAGCAUGUCUUGCAAGUUGCAGAACAUAUCUUUGAGAACAAAUGCAGCAGUUAAUGCAAUUGCAUCUAUAUCAACCAAGCCAGAGAACACUUUUCUGCAAUAUAAAAGCAGAGUUGCACCUAUACCAUCCAAGUAA
rnacentral:rRNA from 1 species